UAUAUGACUUACAUGUUCAUGGAAAAUAUCUCGAUUUUUCUUCUCCCUUUUUUGUUCUCUCUUUUCAGGCGGUUUUCCUUCUGUUUCUUGUUGCAUAAGAGAUGUUUCUUAGAGUAAAAAUGAAUACAUGCAACUUGAUCUUCAAAAUUACCAACAUCUUCCUUCCUAAUUGCCUCUUGCCUGCCCCUGACCAAAGUUGAUCAUUUGAGUUUAUGACUAACUGCAACCUGACAGUGCCUGGAAAGACCAUUGUCAAGGAAGUUAUGUUUUAGACAAAAGGCUUGAUCCACUGUCCAGUAUCAUUUAUAAAAUGGCAUCAACCCUAUAGUUGCCCGCCUCAUGGAUGACCAAUCGACAACAAAUGCAGUGACCGGUUCUUUUAUAGCCAUUCAAUUGAUAGCUUUUUUUUUUUUUUUUUUUCUGGACAACUUAACGAUCUUUUCUGUCCAAAACAGGUGAUGGAUCUGAUAUCUUUGGUUCACCAAAGAGGUAAUGCUAAUUGGACGGCCUGGAUCCAUUGCUAAAAUGCAACAAUCCAUGGUUUGUGGUGUUAAUAGCCAUUUACGAGAUUGUACUUGUUUGGACAGCAGUUGCAAUUAUUAUUA